GCUGUGUGUUACUAAGUGUCACACGGAACUGCCGGUCAUAAACCGGAGGAAGGUGGGGAGUGACGUCAAGUCAGCAUGGCCUUUAUAUCCUGGGCUACACACACGCUACAAUGGGAAGGGACAAUAGGUUGCGAAACCGCGAGGUGGAGCCAAUCCAGCAAAACUUCCCUCAGUUCAGAUUGCAGGCUGCAACUCGCCUGCAUGAAGUUGGAGUUGCUAGUAAACGCAGGUCAGCCAUACUGCGUUGAAUACGUUCCCGGGGCUU
rnacentral:rRNA from 1 species